AUAAAGGAAGCAUGAGAGGAAUAUGGGUUGGAUGUCUUCUUAUUUCUUCUGCUUUAAUUCUCUCCUUUCUACUCAAUAUUCUUCCUUUUAUCUGGUUUUACUUCAGCUAUACGAUGAAAAAGAAACACAGUAUCCUUGAUAAGAUCCAGAAUUCUACAUUUCUUUCGUUUUAAUUCUCUGUACUCCGGGAAAUUUUGACGAAAAUGUAAAGAGGCGCAUUUUUAGGGGGGGGGGUCGUAAUGUGGUUUACGAACUCAAAUUCUCUUUUUAUUUACGAAGUAAACACAAUAAAUCAUUAAGAAAUAUUUUUAAAAUAUUUUUUCCAAAAUGUUCAUAUGUAAAUAUGCAACAAAAGUACGACUUGCCUCAGAAAAAAACGUUGUAAUA